rnacentral:ncRNA from 2 species
CAAAGCUUGUCGGGGUGCCAAAGAUGAUUCAUCUGAGGCUGAGAUCGCAGAUGCGAGACCCGCCGAACCUGAUCGGGAUCAUGCCCGCGUAGGGAACAAGGCACUUGGCUCC